GAUGGACGCUGGCGGCGUGCCUAAUACAUGCAAGUCGAGCGAACGGACGAGAAGCUUGCUUCUCUGAUGUUAGCGGCGGACGGGUGAGUAACACGUGGAUAACCUACCUAUAAGACUGGGAUAACUUCGGGAAACCGGAGCUAAUACCGGAUAAUAUUUUGAACCGCAUGGUUCAAAAGUAAAAGACGGUCUUGCUGUCACUUAUAGAUGGAUCCGCGUUGCAUUAGCUAGUUGGUAAGGUAACGGCUUACCAAGGCAACGAUGCAUAGCCGACCUGAGAGGGUGAUCGGCCACACUGGAACUGAGACACGGUCCAGACUCCUACGGGAGGCAGCAGUAGGGAAUCUUCCGCAAUGGGCGAAAGCCUGACGGAGCAACGCCGCGUGAGUGAUGAAGGUCUUCGGAUCGUAAAACUCUGUUAUUAGGGAAGAACAUAUGUGUAAGUAACUGUGCACAUCUUGACGGUACCUAAUCAGAAAGCCACGGCUAACUACGUG
rnacentral:rRNA from 1 species